rnacentral:rRNA from 1 species
AACGAACGUUGGCGGCGUGGAUUAGGCAUGCAAGUCGCGGGAAUCCCAGCAAUGGGGGAACCGGCGUAAGGGGCAGUAAUGCGUGGGUACCUACCCCGGGGUCCGGGAUAGCCGUCCGAGAGGGCGGGUAAUACCGGAUGACCUCGGGAGAGCAAAGCUCCGGCGCCCCGGGAGGGGCCCACGUGAUAUUAGCUAGUUGGUGAGGUGACGGCUCACCAAGGCGGAGAUGUCUAGCGGGUGUGAGAGCAGGACCCGCGCCACUCGCACUGAGACACUGGCGGGAAACCUACGGGUGGCUGCAGUCGAGGAUCUUCGGCAAUGCGCGCAAGCGCGACCGAGCGACGCCGGGUGGGCGAUGAAGGCCUUCGGGUUGUAAAGCCCUGUCGAGGGGGAGAAAAGCGGGAAACCGUGUGAUCUAUCCCUGGAGGAAGCUCGGGCUAACUUCGUGCCAGCCGCCGCAGUAAAAC